rnacentral:rRNA from 1 species
GACGAGCCUCACAAACGUUAUUCGGAUUCACUGGGCGUAAAGGGUGCGCAGGCGGCCGUGUGUGUGAGGCGUGAAAGCCCGACGCUUAACGUCGGAAUUGCACCUCAAACUACAUGGCUAGAGCAUUGGAGAGGGUAGCGGAAUUCACGGUGUAGCAGUGAAAUGCGUAGAUAUCGGGAGGAACACCAGUGGCGAAGGCGACUACCUGGCCUGUUCUUGACGCUGAGGCGCGAAAGCUAGGGGAGCAAACGGG